rnacentral:pre_miRNA from 1 species
GUUUUCCCGUCUGUGGAUGUUGUUCAGCACCAAGGACAGGCAUGUUUUCCCGUGUGUGGAUGGUGUUCAGCACCAGGGACAGAUGUGUUUGCCU